UACGAACUGCGCAAACGUUAUUCGGAAUCACUGGGCUUACAGGGUGCGUAGGCGGCCGAUCAGGUCCGAUGUGAAAUCCCACAGCUCAACUGUGGAAUGGCAUUGGAAACCGACCGGCUCGAGUGAGCUAGAGGUGCACGGAACUUCCGGUGGAGCGGUGAAAUGUGUUGAGAUCGGAAGGAACACCAGAGGCGAAAGCGGUGCACUGGAGCUUGUCUGACGCUGAGGCACGAAAGCCAGGGGAGCGAACGGG
rnacentral:rRNA from 1 species